rnacentral:rRNA from 1 species
AGGACGAACGCUGGCGGCGUGCUUAACACAUGCAAGUCGAACGGAGUCCAUCCGGUGGCAACACCGGUGAAGGCUCAGUGGCGAACGGGUGCGGAACACGUGAGCAACCUGCCCCAAAGACCGGGAUAACACCGGGAAACUGGUGCUAAUACCGGAUACCCCCACGAGCUCGCAUGGGCUCAUGAGGAAAGGGUUUCCGCUUUGGGAGGGGCUCGCGGCCUAUCAGCUUGUUGGUGAGGUAACGGCUUACCAAGGCGACGACGGGUAGCUGGUCUGAGAGGACGAUCAGCCACACUGGGACUGAGACACGGCCCAGACUCCUACGGGAGGCAGCAGUGGGGAAUCUUGCGCAAUGGGCGAAAGCCUGACGCAGCAACGCCGCGUGGGGGAUGAAGGCCUCGGGUUGUAAACCCUUUCAGUGGGACGAAUUGACGGUACCACAGAAGAAGCCCGGCAACUACGUGCCAGCAGCCGC